rnacentral:rRNA from 1 species
AAUUUGGAGAGUUUGAUCCUGGCUCAGGACGAACGCUGGCGGCGUGCCUAAUACAUGCAAGUCGAGCG